UACGGGGGGGGCAAGCGUUGUUCGGAUUUACUGGGCGUAAAGGGCGCGUAGGCGGUCAGCACAAGUCAGUUGUGAAAUCUCCGGGCUUAACUCGGAAAGGUCAACUGAUACUGUGCGACUAGAGUGCAGAAGGGGCAACUGGAAUUCUCGGUGUAGCGGUGAAAUGCGCAGAUAUCAGGAAGAACACCCGUGGCGAAGGCGGUUCUCUGGGACGGUACUGACGCUGAGACGCGAAAGCGUGGGGAGCGAACAGG
rnacentral:rRNA from 1 species